GACGUAGGGCGCGAGCGUUGUCCGGAUUUAUUGGGCGUAAAGAGCUCGUAGGCGGUUUGUCGCGUCUGCCGUGAAAACCCGAGGCUUAACCUCGUGGCUUGCGGUGGAUACGGGCAGACUAGAGGUAGGUAGGGGAGAAUGGAAUUCCCGGUGUAGCGGUGAAAUGCGCAGAUAUCGGGAGGAACACCGGUGGCGAAGGCGGUUCUCUGGGCCUUACCUGACGCUGAGGAGCGAAAGCGUGGGGAGCGAACAGG
rnacentral:rRNA from 1 species